GAUUGAGCCACAAAUGAUUAUAAACUAGUGGAGGCCCGCGCUUCGCUGCGGAAGAUUUACGUAUUUUUUAAAAUAUUUUGAACAAACUAAUAUAUUUCUAUAUUUACGUUGUUAUCAUUUAUUUUUAAAAAUUUGAGCUUAAUUUUUUUAAUUUUUAAAUUUAAUCUUAAUUUUUUAACUUUACAAAAUUAAAGAGAGAAAAAGAACAAAAAAAAUUUAUUUAAAUAGAGGGAAAAAAAUAAUUUGAAAAGUGAAGAGAGCAGAAAAAGGGAAAAAAACAAAAAGAGCGGUGUCCCCCACGCCGCGCUGCGCCCCGCACUCCCGCGUGUCCGCGCCACACCGCGGGCCGCCCCACGCUCCUGUAAUUUUCUUAUUCCAUAAAUUCAGAGAAAACAAUUAAAGAAAGAGUAAAAAAACAAAAAAAUUAAAAAAAAAAUAAUUUUACAUUAAAAAAAAUGAAUUAUUGGCUAAAACUUGGGGAGAGAGAGAGGAGAGAUAUAGAGAUGGGUUGAGAGAGAGAAAGAGAGGUAUUUUAAAUUUGUUUUAGAGAGAGAUUGGGGAAGAUAUUGAGAGAGAGAGAAUCUGUUUUAGAGAGAGAGAUUCGGGGAGAUAUUGAGAGAGAGAGAAUUUGUUUUAGAGAGAGAUUGGGGGAGAUAGAGAGAGAGAGGAUCUAUUUUGGAGAGAGAUUGGGAGAGAUAUUGAGAGAGAGAGAGAGGAGCAGAGAUUCUCUCAAUUUAAAUAGUGUAAGAUAAGAUAUAUAUAUAUAUAUAUGUAUGUAUAUAUAUAUAUAUAUGUAUGUAUGUAUAUAUAUGUAUAUAUAUAUAUAUGUAUAUAUAUAUGUAGGAUAAAUUGCACUAUUACUUUCUGAACUUUUGACGAAGUUUUACUUUACCUCUCGAACUUCUAAAAUGGCCAUCUAACCCUCUAAACUCUAAUAUUUCAUUCAUGUUACCCUUCCGUCAGUUUUCCGUCAAGCUCUGUUAAUCGAAAACUGACAGAAGAAGUAAAAUGAAUGCAAUAUUAGAGUUCAGGGGUUACCCCUAAACUUUUGGCGAGUUUCACUUAACCCCCAAACUCCUAAAAUAGACAUUUAACACCCUUAACUCUAAUAUUUCAUUCGUUUUACCCCUUCCGUCAGUUUCCGGUUAACGAAGUUUGACGGAAAACUGACGGAAGGGGUAACAUGAACGAAAUAUUAGAGUUCAGGGGUUAGAUGUCCAUUUUAAAAGUUUAAGGAGUAAAGUGAAACUUCGCCAAAAGUUCAAGAGGUAACAAUACAAUUUACCCUAU
rnacentral:lncRNA from 1 species